rnacentral:sRNA from 1 species
GAAACGCAGUCCUUCCCCAUGACAGGAGCGGGGGAACCACUUCCCGCCGGCCCGUACGCAGCACGGACCGGCUCGGGGUGAAGCCACCGCCGCGCGGCUCGUCCGACGGCAGUGGCCGGGCUCCUUCUCGGCCCGAACCCGACAGCUCACCUCGCAGGCGAUGAGAGGAGCC